rnacentral:rRNA from 1 species
GAUGAACGCUGGCGGCGUGCCUAAUACAUGCAAGUCGAGCGAACAGAUGAGGAGCUUGCUCCUCUGACGUUAGCGGCGGACGGGUGAGUAACACGUGGAUAACCUACCUAUAAGACUGGGAUAACUUCGGGAAACCGGAGCUAAUACCGGAUAAUAUAUUGAACCGCAUGGUUCAAUAGUGAAAGACGGUUUUGCUGUCACUUAUAGAUGGAUCCGCGCCGCAUUAGCUAGUUGGUAAGGUAACGGCUUACCAAGGCAACGAUGCGUAGCCGACCUGAGAGGGUGAUCGGCCACACUGGAACUGAGACACGGUCCAGACGCCUACGGGAGGCAGCAGUAGGGAAUCUUACGCAAUGGGCGAAAGCCUGACGGAGCAACGCCGAGUGAGUGAUGAAGGUCUUCGGAUCGUAAAACUCUGUUAUUAGGGAAGAACAAAUGUGUAAGUAACUAUGCACGUCUUGACGGUACCUAAUCAGAAAGCCACGGCUAACUACGUG